UACGUAGGGGGGCUAGCGUUGUCCGGAAUCAUUGGGCGUAAAGCGCGCGUAGGCGGCUCGGAAAGUCGGGCGUGAAAUGCCGGGGCUCAACCCCGGGACUGCGUCCGAUACUUCCGAGCUGGAGGUAGGUAGGGGAGAUCGGAAUCCUGGUGUAGCGGUGAAAUGCGCAGAUAUCAGGAGGAACACCGGUGGCGAAGGCGGGAUCUCUGGGCCUUACCUGACGCUGAGGCGCGAAAGCUAGGGGAGCGAACAGG
rnacentral:rRNA from 1 species